rnacentral:rRNA from 1 species
UGAGGAAUAUUGGACAAUGGGCGCAAGCCUGAUCCAGCCAUGCCGCGUGCAGGAUGACGGUCCUAUGGAUUGUAAACUGCUUUUAUAUGGGAAGAAACCCUGGCUCGUGAGCCAGAUUGACGGUACCGUAGGAAUAAGGAUCGGCUAACUCCGUGCCAGCAGCCGCGGUAAUACGGAGGAUCCAAGCGUUAUCCGGAAUCAUUGGGUUUAAAGGGUCCGUAGGCGGUUUUAUAAGUCAGUGGUGAAAUCCGGUAGCUCAACUAUCGAACUGCCAUUGAUACUGUAAGACUUGAAUUAUUGUGAAGUAACUAGAAUAUGUAGUGUAGCGGUGAAAUGCUUAGAUAUUACAUGGAAUACCAAUUGCGAAGGCAGGUUACUAACAAUACAUUGACGCUGAUGGACGAAAGCGUGGGGAGCGAACAGG